rnacentral:lncRNA from 1 species
AUGAACAAAGCAAGUGGAGGUGAUGGAAUUCCAGUUGAGCUGUUUCAAAUCCUGAAAGAUGAUGCUGUGAAAGUGCUGCACUCAAUAUGCCAGCACAUUUGGAAAACUCAGCAAUGGCCACAGGACUGGAGAAAGUCAGUUUUCAUUCCAAUCCCAAAGAAAGGCAAUGCCAAAGAAUGCUCCAACUACCACACAAUUGCACUCAUCUCACAUGCUAGUAAAGUAAGGCUCAAAAUUCUCCAAGCCAGGCUUCAGCAAUACGUGAACCGUGAACGUCCUGAUGUUCAAGCUGGUUUUAGAAAAGGUAGAGGAACCAGAGAUCAAAUUGCCAACAUCUGCUGGAUCAUGGAAAAAGCAAGAGAGUUCCAGAAAAACAUCUAUUUCUGCUUUAUUGACUAUGCCAAAGCCUUUGACUGUGUGGAUCACAAUAAACUGUGGAAAAUUCUGAGAGAGAUGGGAAUACCAGACCACCUAACCUGCCUCUUGAGAAAUCUGUAUGCAGGUCAGGAAACAACAGUUAGAACUGGACAUGGAACAACAGACUGGUUCCAAAUAGGAAAAGGAGUAUGUCAAGGCUGUAUAUUGUCACCCUGCUUAUUUAACGUAAAUGCAGAGUACAUCAUGAGAAACGCUGGACUGGAAGAAACACAAGCUGGAAUCACAAUUGCCGGGAGAAAUAUCAAUAACCUCAGAUAUGCAGAUAACGCCACCUUUAUGGCAGAAAGUGAAGAGAAGCCAAAAAGCCUCUUGAUGAAAGUGAAAGAGGAGAUCGAAAAAGUUGGCUUAAAGCUCAACAUCCCGAAAACGAAGAUCAUGGCAUCCGGUCCCAUCACUUCAUGGGAAAUAGAUGGGGAAACAGUGGAAACAGUGUCAGACUUUAUUUUUGGGGGCUCCAAAAUCAGUGCAGAUGGUGACUGCAGCCAUGAAAUUAAAAGACACUUACUCCUUGGAAGAAAAGUUAUGACCAACCUAGAUAGUAUAUUCAAAAGUAGAGACAUUACUUUGCCGACUAAGGUCCGUCUAGUCAAGGCUUUGGUUUUUCCUGUGGUCAUGUAUGGAUGUGAGAGUUGGACUGUGAAGAAGGCUGAGCACCGAAGAAUUGAUGCUUUUGAACUGUGGUGUUGGAGAAGACUCUUGAGAGUCCCAUGGACUGCAAGGAGAUCCAACCAGUGCAUUCUGAAGGAGAUCAGCCCUGGGAUUUCUCUGGAAGAAAUGAUGCUAAAGCUGAAACUCCAGUACUUUGGCCACCUCAUGAGAAGAGUUGUCUCAUUGGAAAAGAUUCUGAUGCUGGGAGGGAUUGGGGGCAGGAGGAGAAGGGGACGACCGAGGAUGAGAUGGCUGGAUGGCAUCACUGACUCGAUGGACGUGAGUCUGAGUGAACUCCGGGAGUUGGUGAUGGACAGGGAGGCUUGGUGUGCUGCGAUUCCUGGGGUCGCAAAGAGUCGGACAUGA